ensembl:lncRNA
GUGAGGCCGCAGAAGGUGGAGAAAAGUUGUUGGUUCCCGGCGCCAGGGUCAAAGCCGCCGGGACUAGGACCACUCAGCAGGGAUCCGGCUUGACCUUCGGAGAACCAGCCGGACCCGCCCAAUUCGGCUGGCCGGGUCGAUUCGGGGUCAGGGGAAGCCGCUGGCCGGCGGCCUGAACCCGAGGGCUGCAGGAUGCUCUCCAAACACAGGGCCCCGGGGCUGUGCGGGUGCACCGCAGGACAGAGAGCAGAGAUUGCCUUCCUGGAAGAAGCCACAGUGUUUUCUGAGGAGCUCGAGUUCACAAUCCAGAGAGUUAUAGAAUGCGAUGAAGCAGUGCUAAUGAGCUUCCAUAGAAGGCAUCAGAAUUUUCUUACUGAACCAAAGAAGACUUGUCUGUCAGCAUAAGUCAGCAGAGGACCUCCAUGGCAGCUGCAGGCGAGGUGGAAACUCUGAACGGGGAGUUCUCUGACCCUCCAAGCUUCUGUCCAAGCACCUGAGGAAGUAUGUGGACGGCAAGUGACCUGAGAAAGAGAAGAGAGAGGACAGUGCAGUCCAUGUGGAAAACCAGAGGAGCCUUCCUGGAGGAGGAGGCUUGGGGUGAUAAGCGAGGCUUGGCUUGAUGAAUAUAAGCUGGUGAAGGUCCACUUCUCUUCGUGAAGCAUUAGUAAGAUGGGAUUGGAAGUUCCACUCCCUGGAAUUUCAGCUCUGCCUAUUUCAGCAUCUCGAAGAUUCCUAAAAACUUUUCAUCCUUGUGGGGUUCUGGGCUGGAUGGUUUCUGAGAACAGGAUAUCAGGAGCCUGGGCUCACAGGAGACAUAUUGGGCUCCCUUCUCUGGGGUGCUUUCUUUUGAUAUUAUGGUGAAUUAUACACAAGCCUGGGCUUCCUUGGUGGCUCAACCAGUAAAGAAUCUGCCUGCAGUGCAGGAGACCUGGGUUCAGUCCCUGGGUUGGGAAGAUCCCCUGGAGAAGGAAAUGGCAACCCACUCUAGUACUCUUGCCUGGAGAAUUCCAUGGACAGAGGAGCCUAGCAGGCCACAGUCCAUGGGAUCCCAGAGUCGGACGUGACUGAGCGAGUAACUUUCACUUUCAUACACAAGCCUGUGCCUGGGACGUCUCCAAGGCAGGACGGCCCAUCUGCAGCAGUGCCCUCAGAGGGAAAGCGGUUUAGUGCACUGUCUCUUUUUAAUGUUCCCGACCUACCAAACAUGUUGCAGCUCAUUGAUGAACACAUCUCAUGCAGUCCCUGCUGGUCUCCUUACAGAGAUACAUGUAGUGUACUCAUGAGUCUCCCAAAGCUUGACCAGCCCUGUCCUCUAGGCAAAACAGUAUUUUCUCUGUAAAUCUCCAUUAGUCAUUUGUUCCUGCCGUAACCCCUGAACACAACACACGCUCACUGCCUCACAGUUCUGCAAGGUCAGAAGUCCAACUUGAGAGUUCCCUCGUGGUCCAGUGGUUAAGAAUCUACCUUCCACUGCAAGGGACACAUGUUCUAUCCCUGGUCGGGGAACUAAGAUCCCAUAUGCUACGGAUCGACUAAGCCCGCUUGCCGCAACUACUGAGUCCACACGCCACAGUGAAAGAUCCCGCAUGACGCAACAAAGAUGUGUGCUGCAACUGAGACCCAACACAGCC